rnacentral:lncRNA from 10 species
CUUUAGGUCUCCAGUGUCUCCCAAACAAGAAUCAGGCUGCAAAGCUAUGUGGUGCUUCAACACCCAAAUGGCCUCCCUGGCCCAAGGGAAUGAUGGAAAAGGAAGACCCUCUCACAGGACAGAGAAUAGACACUUCUGACAGUAAGAUGAAUUACAGCCCUGUUGGGCAAUUGCUCCUCACACAACAGAAGCCAUUUGCUGCUGAGACAUGAGACUUGUUCUAGGCCAGAGGUCCAAAAAGGACAGUGUUGAGCAGCUUAAAUGAAGAGAGCAACAUGUUUUUUUUUCUCAAUACAAUUCUCUAUGGGUUUUACUAUCUUCCCACAUUUAGUAUUGUAGAAGAGAAGCCUAAUGCUAAUUUAUUAAUUUGUUUUCUUGGCAGUUAAUUGUGCUUUCUGUUCUCAUAUUAUAUACAUUUUUACAUCGGUUCUCCUUAUUUUGGAAAAAUCAGAAAUUUUACUAAGGUCACAUGAUGAUCAACUCUGUGGUUGGAAGUCAGGAAUCUUCAAAGGAGUGGGAUGAUUCUGCAAGAACUCCCACAUUCUUAGUGAUUGCACAGUACAGUCUGAUCAACCCUCCUGAAGAGGACAGCUGCUUCAUCUCGAUAAACCCAUCGUCAUAAAUCACACGAUGGAAUAUUACACAGCAAUGACAAGGAAUGAACAACGGGCCAUAAAACCACAUGAGUAAAGUUCAAAAACAUUCUGUGGAGUUGAAAAGUACAUGGUGUAGGAGUCAAUUUAUGAAAUUCAAGAACAUGUAGAGCAUGGUAUGACAGAAGUCAGCAUAAUGAAUACUUCUGCUGUGAAGAUUGACUGGGGAAAAGGAUGGAAAGACUUUCUGAGUGACAGAAACAGUUUGUAUCUUUAUCUCAUUGAAAGUCAGACAGCUAAAAAUUGACCUGGAUGCACACUUCAGAUUUCCACAUUGCACUGUAUUUACAUAACACUUCAAUUUUUAAAGGCAAAGGAAAGAAGAUGGUGACCCCUGUGGUAGUAGUGGAUGUCUCUCAGUGGUCUGAAUUCUAGAGAUUUUCCUGGCAUUAGGAAAAAAAUGCAGGAUUUUUAACACAUACGGCCAAGAGAAGUUGAAAAACAUAGCUAAAAUGCGCUUAAAAACAAAACAAAACUAAACAUUAGCAUAGGUUUUGUACAUCCUAGUUCCUCUCCCUCUCCUUCUCUUUCUCUCUUUUGUUCAAAUGCUGGAAGUGAACAACAAUUGUUUUGAUAAUAAAAUAACUACACAGUGUCAACAAUGUUUCCUUCAUUGAGUUUUGAGGCUACAGCAAUGACAAGAAAAAAUGGACUUUCAUGUUAAGAAUCUCACCAUCUAAAAGGG